rnacentral:rRNA from 1 species
AGCGGCGGAUGGGUGAGUAACACGUGGGGAACCUGCCCCUAAGUCAGGGAUACCAUUUGGAAACAGGUGCUAAUACCGGAUAAUAAAGCAGAUCGCAUGAUCAGCUUUUGAAAGGCGGCGUAAGCUGUCGCUAAGGGAUGGCCCCGCGGUGCAUUAGCUAGUUGGUAAGGUAACGGCUUACCAAGGCGACGAUGCAUAGCCGAGUUGAGAGACUGAUCGGCCACAUUGGGACUGAGACACGGCCCAAACUCCUACGGGAGGCAGCAGUAGGGAAUCUUCCACAAUGGACGCAAGUCUGAUGGAGCAACGCCGCGUGAGUGGAGAAGGUUCUCGGAUCGUAAAGCUCUGUUGUUGGUGAAGAAGGAUAGAGGUAGUAACUGGCCUUUAUUUGACGGUAAUCAACCAGAAAGUCACGGCUAACUACGUGCCAGCAGCCGCGGUAAUACGUAGGUGGCAAGCGUUGUCCGGAUUUAUUGGGCGUAAAGCGAGCGCAGGCGGAAAAAUAAGUCUAAUGUGAAAGCCCUCGGCUUAACCGAGGAACUGCAUCGGAAACUGUUUUUCUUGAGUGCAGAAGAGGAGAGUGGAAACUCCAUGUGUAGCGGUGGAAUGCGUAGAUAUAUGGGAAGAACACCAGUGGCGAAGCGGCUCUCUGGUCUGCAACUGACGCUGAGGCUCGAAAGCAUGGGUAGCGAACA